AUUGAACGCUGGCGGCAGGCUUAACACAUGCAAGUCGAGCGGGGGAAGGUAGCUUGCUACCGGACCUAGCGGCGGACGGGUGAGUAAUGCUUAGGAAUCUGCCUAUUAGUGGGGGACAACAUCUCGAAAGGGAUGCUAAUACCGCAUACGUCCUACGGGAGAAAGCAGGGGAUCUUCGGACCUUGCGCUAAUAGAUGAGCCUAAGUCGGAUUAGCUAGUUGGUGGGGUAAAGGCCUACCAAGGCGACGAUCUGUAGCGGGUCUGAGAGGAUGAUCCGCCACACUGGGACUGAGACACGGGCCGGGCUCCUACGGGAGGCAGCAGUGGGGAAUAUUGGAAAAUGGGGGGAACCCUGAGCCAGUCAUGCCGGGUGUGUGAAGAAGGCCUUAUGAUUGUAAAGCACUUUAAGCGAGGAGGAGGCUACUCUAGUUAAUACCUAGGGAUAGUGGACGUUACUCGCAGAAUAAGCACCGGCUAACUCUGUGCCAGCCGCCGCCGUAA
rnacentral:rRNA from 1 species